ensembl:snRNA U6 U6 spliceosomal RNA
GUGCUUGCUUCAGCAGCGCAUAUACGAAAAUUGGAAUGAUACAGAGUCAAUUUCCAUGACCCUGACCAAGGAUGACACACAAAUUUGUAAAGCAUUCCAUAUUUUU